rnacentral:lncRNA from 1 species
CGGAAAACCUCACUUCCGGGGUCAAAGGCAAUCUUGGAAAAGGAGAACUCGGCGAGUGUAAACGAGACCGGAAAGAGCGCUGUAUUGGUCCAGUCGCUCCGUCGUUACCAAAGCGUCAAAGAACUUCCGGAAGCCACUGGUUGCAGACACUAGCCACCGGUUCCAUAGGCUUAUUUUUGCAGGCUGCUGCCUAUCACAAGUAGUAGGGAUCUGCUAAAAACAAGCAAACAGGGUCAGUGACUACAGGAAUACAAAAGAAGAUACAAAGAAGAUAGUACUUGUGGAGGAGACUUGGAAACUCGGCAUAGAACCUAGAAGCCUCCAAGCUGGCACCACUCCAGGGGAUAAGGCUGGCCUUUGUGUAUCUCAACUUACCCUAGUAAACAUAUUCUGCCAAGCCACGGGAAAGUAAGGAACACUUACUAAGCACGUGCUCUGUGUCAAUUAUCUUUACAAAUACCUCAUUAAAUCCUCACAGUGCACUUAAGAGUUCGACAGGCCCUGCGACAGCUGUGAUGUUCCUACCAAGCAGAAGUUUAUCUGGGAGCAGACCUCACUAGGUCCUGUUAGCUGUCCAUCCUGGGGCCUAACUUCAAGCCCAGCUGGAGGUGCCAUCACCAUUCUCAUCAUACCUGUGAAGGACCAGCUGCCAGAGAACUUGGCUCCUCAAAUUCUAAUCAGGCUUGAUCUAGCACAGAGGUGCAAUCUGCCAGGGAGGGUGCCAAGACAAAGGCUUGUAAGGAUAUCAUUUGAUGUCUCUGGGGGGGUGGUGAGACUCCCUCCACGUGUCCAGAGCAUAGUGUGAAAGGGAUAAUGCUCUGGAGACUUGCCAGCAGCUCCUCCUUCCCUCAGAGGAGACAGUGAGUUCUUGGAGUCCUUUCCACUCCUUGGGAUCCUUGGUGUUUCCCACUCCUGGCUCAUCUGGCUCUGUGCCCAGGUUGUGCGCAAUGUUGGACUGCCCACUUUUAAAAGUUAGCACAAUUUUUGGGGAGGUAUUUGUGCUUUUAUUAUGAAAGAGGUUUGAGAAAAUAUAGCACAACAUCCUAUCUCUUCUGUAGAGUGAGCUGGGUUUUACUCUCUAAUGCCACUUCCCAAGGGUCCCAAGGGAGUUGAGGUAGGCUUUCCUAUCAGUGAUUAUACCUGGGCUUUUUUCCCUACUGUCAUUUUUCUUAUUGGAUGUGUUUCUUGUGGAAGAACAGUGCUUUCACUUAGCAUUGUGACUUCUAGCACCUGACUCUGACAGUAAAUAAUGGACCCUGAAAUAAAGGGCUUGUGCUUAUUGAAGACUGACCCA